rnacentral:rRNA from 1 species
UACAGAGGGUGCGAGCGUUAAUCGGAAUUACUGGGCGUAAAGCGUGCGUAGACGGUUAUUUAAGUCGGGUGUGAAAGCCCCGGGCUCAACCUGGGAAUUGCAUUCGAGACUGAAUAGCUAGGGUACGGUAGAGGGAAGCGGAAUUCCCGGUGUAGCAGUGAAAUGCGUAGAGAAUCGGGAGGAACAUCUGUGGCGAAGGCGACUGCCUGGACCAGCACUGACACUGAGGCACGAAAGCGUGGGGGAGCAAACAGG